rnacentral:tRNA from 2 species
GCCUGGCUAGCUCAGUCGGUAGAGCAUGAGACUCUUAAUGUCAGGAUCGUGGGUUCGAGCCCCACGCUGGGCG